CCUUCUUUUCCUCACGUGCAGCUAUAUGUUUCCGUCUCAAGGGAAACUUUCAGGAGAGGAUUAAAGGUUUUGGCUCUUCAGAAACAGGAGACUUGCUAUUACUGAGUGUGCACGUUGGCUGAGAAGGACUACCAUCACACAAUGACAGUUGUCUCUACACAUAUCUACAUGCACUGCGUACAUUGAAUCCUCAAGCUU